ACACCGUACAAUCACAACUGACACACAAACCUUUAGAACCAUGCUUUAUGAAAAGCUUUAUGAAACCAUGCAUGUUCUUUAAAGCUCACUGCUAUCAGUUGCAAGAAAGACAGCGUUGAUUCAGUGUUGUUCAUUGAAUCUGUUACAACAGAUACUCACAGGUGCACCCUUGGGACCAGGCAAUCCAGGAGAUCCAUCUCGACCAGGUGCUCCAUCCCGCCCAGGCAGACCUGGAGGGCCAGGGAAUCCUGUGUCUCCCUUGUCUCCCUUCAUACCAUCAAAUGAAACUGCUUCACCAGGGUCACCCUUCUCUCCUGGUGCUCCAGAUAAACCUUGCAAUCCUGAAAAAGCAGAUGACAAGCUCCUUGCCUGGGGGUCCUGGAGGUCCAGGUGGGCCCUGCGGUCCAGGAAUGAGGUUGCCACUUGAGAAACAAUUCACACAUGUAUCCCCCUUUUCACCUGCAAAAUGAAAGGCACAUGAAGGUCCCCAUUCAGGCCUGGAAGACCAGUAGGUCCUGGGAGACAGUUUUCACCACCAGUGGAUAUUCCUGGAGGUCCUGGAGGUCCUGGAAGUCCUUGAAAACCUUGCGGUCCAGGUCUGCCAGGAGAACCUGGAAGAGAAGCUCCCGGAGAUCCUUGAUCGCCCUUUUGUCCUCUCUCUCCUGGAUAACCAGGGGGGCCAGGUGGACCUUGCACUCCAAUUCCUAGGAUAUUAUACAGCAUUUAUGAACACAAACAUACUCACAGAAUAUUUUUUUUUCAUGUGUCAUGUUAUAUUAGAUAUUUCACCAUUUUUUAACUGACAGAGAUGCAUUUUCUGCAUAUUGAGUGGUCUCACCUGCACGACCUGGCUGACCUGGUGGUCCUGGGACCCCUGGGAAUGACCAAAAAACUGGUAAGGACUCAUAUUGCAC